rnacentral:rRNA from 1 species
UACGUAGGUGGCAAGCGUUGUCCGGAUUUACUGGGCGUAAAGAGCGCGCAGGCGGUCGUGCAAGUCGCGUGUGAAAGCCCCCGGCUCAACUGGGGAGGGUCACGCGAUACUGCUCGACUCGAAGGCAGGAGAGGGAAGUGGAAUUCCCGGUGUAGUGGUGAAAUGCGUAGAUAUCGGAAGGAACAUCAGUGGCGAAAGCGGCUUCCUGGACCAGAACUGACGAUCAGGCACGAAAGCGUGGGGAGCAAACAGG